rnacentral:rRNA from 1 species
GACGAACGCUGGCGGCGUGCUUAACACAUGCAAGUCGAACGGAAAGGCCCUGCUUUUGUGGGGUGCUCGAGUGGCGAACGGGUGAGUAACACGUGAGUAACCUGCCCUUGACUUUGGGAUAACUUCAGGAAACUGGGGCUAAUACCGGAUCGGAGCUCCUGCUGCAUGGUGGGGGUUGGAAAGUUUCGGCGGUUGGGGAUGGACUCGCGGCUUAUCAGCUUGUUGGUGGGGUAGUGGCUUACCAAUGCUUUGACGGGUAGCCGGCCUGAGAGGGUGACCGGCCACAUUGGGACUGAGAGACGGCCCAGACUCCUACGGGAGGCAGCAGUGGGGAAUAUUGCACAAUGGGCGGAAGCCUGAUGCAGCAACGCCGCGUGCGGGAUGACGGCCUGCGGGUUGUAAACCGCUGUCGCCUGUGACGAAGCGUGAGUGACGGUAAUGGGUAAAGAAGCACCGGCUAACUACGUG